GAUGAACGCUGGCGGCGUGCCUAAUACAUGCAAGUCGAGCGAACAGACGAGGAGCUUGCUCCUUUGACGUUAGCGGCGGACGGGUGAGUAACACGUGGGUAACCUACCUAUAAGACUGGGAUAACUUCGGGAAACCGGAGCUAAUACCGGAUAAUAUUUCGAACCGCAUGGUUCGAUAGUGAAAGAUGGCUUUGCUAUCACUUAUAGAUGGACCUGCGCCGUAUUAGCUAGUUGGUAAGGUAACGGCUUACCAAGGCAACGAUACGUAGCCGACCUGAGAGGGUGAUCGGCCACACUGGAACUGAGACACGGUCCAGACUCCUACGGGAGGCAGCAGUAGGGAAUCUCCCGCAAUGGGCGAAAGCCUGACGGAGCAACGCCGCGUGAGUGAUGAAGGUCUUCGGAUCGUAAAACUCUGUUAUUAGGGAAGAACAAACGUGUAAGUAACUGUGCACGUCUUGACGGUACCUAAUCAGAAAGCCACGGCUAACUACGUG
rnacentral:rRNA from 1 species